rnacentral:rRNA from 1 species
GUUAUAUGGUCAAGUGAAGAAGCGCAUACGGUGGAUGCCUUGGCAGUCAGAGGCGAUGAAAGACGUGGUAGCCUGCGAAAAGCUUCGGGGAGUCGGCAAACAGACUGUGAUCCGGAGAUGUCUGAAUGGGGGAACCCAGCCAUCAUAAGAUGGUUAUCUUGUACUGAAUACAUAGGUGCAAGAGGCGAACCAGGGGAACUGAAACAUCUAAGUACCCUGAGGAAAAGAAAUCAACCGAGAUUCCCUUAGUAGUGGCGAGCGAACGGGGACCAGCCCUUAAGUUGUAUUGAGAUUAGCGGAACGUUCUGGAAAGGACGGCCAUAGUGGGUGAUAGCCCUGUACGCGAAAAUCCCUUUGCAAUGAAAUCGAGUAGGACGGGGCACGAGAAACCUUGUCUGAAUAUGGGGGGACCAUCCUCCAAGGCUAAAUACUACUGACUGACCGAUAGUGAACCAGUACCGUGAGGGAAAGGCGAAAAGAACCGCGGAGAGCGGAGUGAAAUAGAUCCUGAAACCGUAUGCGUACAAGCAGUGGGAGCCCACUUGUUGGGUGACUGCGUACCUUUUGUAUAAUGGGUCAGCGACUUAUUUUCAGUGGCGAGCUUAACCGAAUAGGGGAGGCGUAGCGAAAGCGAGUCUUAAUAGGGCGUCUAGUCGCUGGGAAUAGACCCGAAACCGGGCGAUCUAUCCAUGGGCAGGUUGAAGGUUGGGUAACACUAACUGGAGGACCGAACCGACUACCGUUGAAAAGUUAGCGGAUGACCUGUGGAUCGGAGUGAAAGGCUAAUCAAGCUCGGAGAUAGCUGGUUCUCCUCGAAAGCUAUUUAGGUAGCGCCUCAUGUAUCACUGUAGGGGGUAGAGCACUGUUUCGGCUAGGGGGUCAUCCCGACUUACCAAACCGAUGCAAACUCCGAAUACCUACAAGUGCCGAGCAUGGGAGACACACGGCGGGUGCUAACGUCCGUCGUGAAAAGGGAAACAACCCAGACCGUCAGCUAAGGUCCCAAAGUCAUGGUUAAGUGGGAAACGAUGUGGGAAGGCUUAGACAGCUAGGAGGUUGGCUUAGAAGCAGCCACCCUUUAAAGAAAGCGUAAUAGCUCACUAGUCGAGUCGGCCUGCGCGGAAGAUGUAACGGGGCUCAAACCAUGCACCGAAGCUACGGGUAUCAUCUUUUGAUGAUGCGGUAGAGGAGCGUUCUGUAAGCCUGUGAAGGUGAGUUGAGAAGCUUGCUGGAGGUAUCAGAAGUGCGAAUGCUGACAUGAGUAACGACAAUGGGUGUGAAAAACACCCACGCCGAAAGACCAAGGUUUCCUGCGCAACGUUAAUCGACGCAGGGUUAGUCGGUCCCUAAGGCGAGGCUGAAAAGCGUAGUCGAUGGAAAACAGGUUAAUAUUCCUGUACUUCUGGUUAUUGCGAUGGAGGGACGGAGAAGGCUAGGCCAGCCUGGCGUUGGUUGUCCAGGUUUAAGGUGGUAGGCUGAGAUCUUAGGUAAAUCCGGGAUCUUAAGGCCGAGAGCUGAUGACGAGUGUUCUUUUAGAACACGAAGUGGUUGAUGCCAUGCUUCCAAGAAAAGCUUCUAAGCUUCAGGUAACCAGGAACCGUACCCCAAACCGACACAGGUGGUUGGGUAGAGAAUACCAAGGCGCUUGAGAGAACUCGGGUGAAGGAACUAGGCAAAAUGGCACCGUAACUUCGGGAGAAGGUGCGCCGGUGGAGGUGAAGCAUUUACUGCGUAAGCCCCUGCCGGUCGAAGAUACCAGGCCGCUGCGACUGUUUAUUAAAAACACAGCACUCUGCAAACACGAAAGUGGACGUAUAGGGUGUGACGCCUGCCCGGUGCCGGAAGGUUAAUUGAUGGGGUUAGCGCAAGCGAAGCUCUUGAUCGAAGCCCCGGUAAACGGCGGCCGUAACUAUAACGGUCCUAAGGUAGCGAAAUUCCUUGUCGGGUAAGUUCCGACCUGCACGAAUGGCGUAACGAUGGCGGCGCUGUCUCCACCCGAGACUCAGUGAAAUUGAAAUCGCUGUGAAGAUGCAGUGUAUCCGCGGCUAGACGGAAAGACCCCGUGAACCUUUACUAUAGCUUUGCACUGGACUUUGAAUUUGCUUGUGUAGGAUAGGUGGGAGGCUUUGAAGCGUGGACGCCAGUCUGCGUGGAGCCAACCUUGAAAUACCACCCUGGCAACUUUGAGGUUCUAACUCAGGUCCGUUAUCCGGAUCGAGGACAGUGUAUGGUGGGUAGUUUGACUGGGGCGGUCUCCUCCUAAAGAGUAACGGAGGAGUACGAAGGUGCGCUCAGACCGGUCGGAAAUCGGUCGUAGAGUAUAAAGGCAAAAGCGCGCUUGACUGCGAGACAGACACGUCGAGCAGGUACGAAAGUAGGUCUUAGUGAUCCGGUGGUUCUGUAUGGAAGGGCCAUCGCUCAACGGAUAAAAGGUACUCCGGGGAUAACAGGCUGAUACCGCCCAAGAGUUCAUAUCGACGGCGGUGUUUGGCACCUCGAUGUCGGCUCAUCACAUCCUGGGGCUGAAGCCGGUCCCAAGGGUAUGGCUGUUCGCCAUUUAAAGUGGUACGCGAGCUGGGUUUAGAACGUCGUGAGACAGUUCGGUCCCUAUCUGCCGUGGACGUUUGAGAUUUGAGAGGGGCUGCUCCUAGUACGAGAGGACCGGAGUGGACGAACCUCUGGUGUUCCGGUUGUCACGCCAGUGGCAUUGCCGGGUAGCUAUGUUCGGAAAAGAUAACCGCUGAAAGCAUCUAAGCGGGAAACUUGCCUCAAGAUGAGAUCUCACUGGAACCUUGAGUUCCCUAAAGGGCCGUCGAAGACUACGACGUUGAUAGGUUGGGUGUGUAAGCGCUGUGAGGCGUUGAGCUAACCAAUACUAAUUGCCCGUGAGGCUUGACCAUAUAACACCCAAGCAAUU